GAUAUGCGAUAAGUAAUGUGAAUUGCAGAAUUCAGUGUAUCAUCGAAUCUUUGAACGCACCUUGCGCUCGUUGGUAUUCCGAGGAGCCUGCAUGUUUGACUGGCAUUAAAUUCUCAACCUCACCAAUUUUUGUAAUGAAAGUUGUGAGCAGGCUUGGAUGUGGGGGUUUGCAGGUCCGCCUUUUGGUGGUCUGCUCCUCAGAAAUGCAUUAGUGGGUUGUGCCCCUAAUCUAUUGGUGUGAUAAUUAUCUACGCCGUGGAUCAGGUUGGCUACUAUAGACCUGCUUCUAACCGUCCGUCUUGGUCAACUUUGACAUUUUUAACCUCAAAUUAGGUAAGACUACCCGCUGACCUUAA
rnacentral:misc_RNA from 1 species